GUUCAAAAGCAAGCAGAAAUGGGACUUGUCAACCUUUGCAAACAUAGGACAGGCCUGAAACAUCCCACCCUCCUUCCUUUCAGCAGGAACCAGAGCAGCAACACAGUCCUUGGUGGAGGCAGGAGGGAAGGAUUUCCCCUUUGUGCUAACCUCUCCUGUGCAGAUUGGAUAUCCCUCCAUCCCAUCUGUUGUCCUCCUGAGGUUCUUCAUCCCUUGAAGUCAGAAGAAGUUGCCAAAAGUGAAGGAAAGCCAUCAAAAGACCCCUCCAGCCACAGCACAGGUGCCAGUGCGAAGUCUGAUUUCCAUUGCUGAAGUCAGUGUGAGUUUUGCUCAUACCUUCAACCAUCAGAAGUCCAGAUCCAAGGAAAAGAAAAAAGGUACCAGAACCCAGCAGGAUUCAAUUUUCAGUCCCCGGAUUUCAAUUUGACAACAACAAUCCAUAGGAAAAAUGCAAAUAUGAUCUUUCCUGCAGACAGAAAUGAGAGAGGGCGUUGAGAGCUCUCGUGUUGUUUGAUCACUUUAAAGCCUUUCCUGCAGAAAGUGAAUUGGUGAAAUUCUGCUUGAAAUGUGCUGGCUGCAUUUACAGGCAAAAGGAGAUGAGAUGAGAUGAGUAAACCUUCCUCAGCUUGGAAUAGCCUCCCCCAGACCUUCACGGUUAUCCACUUAAAUACAAGGACGAGAUUUCUUUUCUGGCUCAUCUGUGAAUUCACCCUGUGUACUUGUUUAGUGAUCCACUUCACCGUGGAAAAAAGAAUCAAAGAGGUUUCAGCUCUUUCCCCCACCCCAGCCUUUUCUGUCUUGUAAUGUUAAUGAGUGAUAAUGCUUCAUGAUUUUUUUCACAGGCUAUUGCUGCUGAAAAUUGCUUUGGUGCAUUGGGACUCUUAUUAACUGAGUAUAUCAAGAGCUUUCUGCAAAGCAGAGGAAUAAAGACCAAGGAAGUG